rnacentral:rRNA from 1 species
AACGAACGCUGGCGGCAUGCCUAACACAUGCAAGUCGAACGAAGCCUCCGGGCUUAGUGGCGCACGGGUGCGUAACGCGUGGGAAUCUGCCCUUGGGUUCGGAAUAACAGUUAGAAAUGACUGCUAAUACCGAAUGAUGUCUUCGGACCAAAGAUUUAUCGCCCAAGGAUGAGCCCGCGUCGGAUUAGCUAGUUGGUGAGGUAAAGGCUCACCAAGGCGACGAUCCGUAGCUGGUCUGAGAGGAUGAUCAGCCACACUGGGACUGAGACACGGCCCAGACUCCUACGGGAGGCAGCAGUGGGGGAAUAUUGGACAAUGGGCGAAAGCCUGAUCCAGCAAUGCCGCGUGAGUGAUGAAGGCCUUAGGGUUGUAAAGCUCUUUUACCCGGGAUGAUAAUGACAGUACCGGGAG